CCUACGGGAGGCAGCAGUGAGGAAUAUUGGUCAAUGGCCGUAAGGCUGAACCAGCCAAGUCGCGUGAAGGAAGAAGGAUCUAUGGUUUGUAAACUUCUUUUAUAGGGGAAUAAAGGUAUCCACGUGUGGAUAUUUGCAUGUACCCUAUGAAAAAGCAUCGGCUAACCCCGUGCCAGCAGACGCGGUAAGACGGAGGAUGCGAGCGUUAUGCGGAUUGAUUGGGUUGAAAGGGGGCGUAGGUUGUUUUUUUAGUCAGCGGUGAAAGUUUGUGGCUCAACCAUAAAAUUGCCGUUGAAACUGGAAAACUAGAGUGUGUUUGAGGUAGGCGGAAUGCGUGGUGUAGCGGUGAAAUGCAUAGAUAUCACGAAGAACUCCGAUUGCGAAGGCAGCUUACUAAGCCAUAACUGACACUGAAGCACGAAAGCGUGGGGAUCAAACAGGAUUAGAUACCCGAGUAGUC
rnacentral:rRNA from 1 species